rnacentral:lncRNA from 1 species
UUACACUAUUUUAUUUAAAAACUCUUUUGUUUUAAAUACACAAAUGCUGCAUUUAUAAUGCUGAACUUGCUCCGAUGCCAGCUGUCACAGAACCGACCAAAUUAUAAGAGUUCAAGUGCAGAAACGAUCGCCAAGCAAUCAAGUUUCUAAACUUGAGCCCAUAUAAUCCCGGUAGUCAAUCGAAAUCACGAAGGACUUCAAACCAACUCGCAACAAACCAAGAUCGUAAUAGUCCAACAUAAACACAGCGAAUGUUACAUAGUCAUUCAUUGCCGACGAAGCGGCACCAC